CGUGAUCAAAGGUCACUGCGUGGAAGUAAACGAGAACAACCCAGUAGGUCAAAACUACUGCUAUAAAAUGUAUCUGACUCCAGAGUCAUCUAAAAGUGACUUCUUGUUCCUCAAGCCUUUUAGCCCGACAGGAACAUCUUCCCGAAAUAACAUGAAGGAAAUGGAAAACAAAACUUUGACCCGGAGCCCAGCCAGCCACAGUCUUAAAUGGUACAAGGAUACGACCUUCCCAAAUGAACUUAAACAGGGAAACAAAGACCAAACCCUGACCAAGAACCAGCUCAAUUAUGCCUAUAAAAGACUAUAGGACCUCAUCUAAGGGUGGAGGUUUUCCAAAUCGCUCAUGGACACGUUACAAUCAACAGGAUUCAGUUCAACCCUCACCAGACUAUCAACAACUAUCAAUCAAGAUGACUCAGUAAUAACCAAUGAUUUUUUCAAAUGUUUUUUCCAGUUAUAUUUUUUAUCUGCAUAUUACUUCCUGCAUAUAUGUUGUGUAUAUUUUAGUUGUAUUAUAUGUACUAUAUGAUUUGGCAACAACAGGACUUAAAAGUACUCUGAUAAUUAUUAUUUAUUUAUUUUUAUUUUAUUUUUUUUUUGUCUUUUUUUCUAGUUAAUUGCAGUAUUUCUGAAAGCAAUGCUUUAAUUGUAAUUAUCCAUAUUGAUGAGAAUAUAUGUUAUAUUUUCCUAUUUUGUAUUCCUCUCAUUACCAAAAUGUAUAGAAUUAAUAUAACUCUUUGGUCUUUCUUCUUGUUAAAAUAAUAAAUAAAUAAAUAAAUAAAUAAAACUGUUUCCAUUGCAGUGGUUCUUGCUGUGCCAAAAAUUACAAGAAACAUUAAGAGCACGAUGAUAUAAAACCGUGCAUCUCUUGGCUACAUAUACCAAUGACAAGAAAAAAAGUAGAGAGACUUAAUUAUUUAUUUAUUUUAUUUUUAUUUUUAUUUUUUUUUUGUCUUUUUUUCAGUUAAUUGCAGUUAUUUCUGAAAGCAAUGCUUUAAUUGUAAUUAUCCAUAUUGAUGAGAAUAUAUGUUAUAUUUUUCCUAUUUUUGUAUUCCUCUCAUUACCAAAAAUGUAUAGAAUUAAUAUAACUCUUUGGUCUUUCUUCUUGUUAAAAUAAUAAAUAAAUAAAUAAAUAAAUAAAACUGUUUCCAUUGCAGUGGUUCUUGCUGUGCCAAAAAUUACAAGAAACAUUAAGAGCACGAUGAUAUAAAACCGUGCAUCUCUUGGCUACAUAUACCAAUGACAGAAAAAAAGUAAGAGAGCAAGAAUAUGACUUUAAAGGCAGCUUUUGAAUUUACUUAAUCAUUUAGCUGACGCUUUUAUCCAAAGCGACUUGCAAAUGAGGACAAUAGAAGCAAUCAAACCAACCAAAGAGCAACAAUAUGUAAGUGCUGUGACAAUUCCCGUGUAGUCUAACCCUAACUCUCUAACACUAACUCGCUAUUCUGUUUCUAUUCUACCUUUUUAUUCUUUCUAUUUAUUAUUAAAAACAAAUAAAUAAAUAAAAAUGGUGCUGAACUUCAUUCUUGUUGGAUGACGCGAAUUAUUAUUAUUAUUAUUAUUAUUAUUCAAUUUGUCAAGAAAAAAUAAAUAAAAGUACUUUAAAUAUCAAUACAUUUAAUACAUUUAAUACUUUCAACAUCUGCAGCUGAACCACACAUUACAUAUAGACUUUCAUUAAGAACAUUAAUAAGGAUUUUCGGUAUUUCGCAACAAAGUCAAAAGUAGAGCAGAAAAUACUAAUCUUUUACUAUAACUUUUUUUUUUUGGUCAUAAAUAUAUUUUUAUGCAAACUUUUAUCCUCCCACGAUGUCGCUGCACUACUGAUAUUCACUUUAUGGGAGGAUGCAAGAACAGCCAUGCUUUUUUUCUUUCAUAAUGCGGUUGGACGGAGGCAUAGAGAGCAGCAGCUCUGCUGAAUCUGAUCAGCGG
rnacentral:lncRNA from 1 species